UACGUAGGGGGCAAGCGUUGUCCGGAUUUAUUGGGCGUAAAGAGCGUGUAGGCGGUCUGGUAGGUCCGUUGUGAAAACUCGAGGCUCAACCUCGAGACGCCGAUGGAAACCAUCAGACUAGAGUCCGGAAGAGGAGAGUGGAAUUCCUGGUGUAGCGGUGAAAUGCGCAGAUAUCAGGAAGAACACCGAUGGCGAAGGCAGUUCUCUGGGCCGUAACUGACGCUGAGGAGCGAAAGCGUGGGGAGCGAACAGG
rnacentral:rRNA from 1 species